rnacentral:rRNA from 1 species
AACCUGGUUGAUCCUGCCAGUAGUCAUAUGCUUGUCCCAAAGACUAAGCCAUGCAUGUCUAAGUAUAAGUAUUAUACAGCGAAACUGCGAAUGGCUCAUUAAAACAGUUAUAGUUUAUUUGAUAAUCGAAUUUACAUGGAUAACCGUGGUAAUUCUAGAGCUAAUACAUGCUGGUAUGCUCGACUUUUGUGGAAGGGCGGUAUUUAUUAGAUAACAAAUCAAUAUUCCUCUGGUCUAUUGUGGUGACUCAUAGUAACUGAUCGAAUCGCAAGGCCUAUGGCCGCGAUAAGUCAUUCAAGUUUCUGCCCCAUCAGCUUUCGAUGGUAGUGUAUUGGACUACCAUGGCGUUUACGGGUAACGGAGGAUUAGGGUUCGAUUCCGGAGAGGGAGCCUGAGAAACGGCUACCACAUCUAAGGAUGGCAGCAGGCGCGUAAAUUACCCAAUCCUGAUUCAGGGAGGUAGUGACAAGAAAUAACGGACUGGGUCUUCGGACUUCGGGAUUGCAAUGAGCCGAAUUUACACCCCUUAGCGAGAAUCGAUUGGAGGGCAAGUCUGGUGCCAGCAGCCGCGGUAAUUCCAGCUCCAAUAGC